rnacentral:tRNA from 2 species
GCGGGUGUAGCUCAAUGGUAGAGCAGCAGCUUCCCAAGCUGAAUACGAGGGUUCGAUUCCCUUCACCCGCUCCG